rnacentral:rRNA from 1 species
UACGUAGGGGGCGAGCGUUGUCCGGAUUUAUUGGGCGUAAAGCGCGCGUAGGCGGCUUUGCAAGUCGGGUGUGAAAUCCCCAGGCUUAACCUGGGAACUGCAUUCGAGACUGCAUUGCUAGAGUAUGGGAGAGGGAAGUGGAAUUUCCGGUGUAGCGGUGAAAUGCGUAGAUAUCGGAAGGAACAUCAGUGGCGAAAGCGACUUCCUGGACCAAUACUGACGCUCAUGUGCGAAAGCGUGGGGAGCAAACAGG